rnacentral:rRNA from 1 species
GAUGAACGCUGGCGGCGUGCCUAAUACAUGCAAGUCGAGCGAACGGACGAGAAGCUUGCUUCUCUGAUGUUAGCGGCGGACGGGUGAGUAACACGUGGAUAACCUACCUAUAAGACUGGGAUAACUUCGGGAAACCGUAGCUAAUACCGGAUAAUAUUUUGAACCGCAUGGUUCAAAAGUGAAAGACGGUCUUGCUGUCACUUAUAGAUGGAUCCGCGCUGCAUUAGCUAGUUGGUAAGGUAACGGCUUACCAAGGCGACGAUGCAUAGCUGACCUGAGAGGGUGGUCGGCCACCCUGGAACUGAGACACGGUCCAGACUCCUACGGGAGGCAGCAGUAGGGAAUCUUACGCAAUGGGCGAAAGCCUGACGGAGCGACGCCGCGUGAGUGAUGGAGGCCUUCGGAUCGUAAAACUCUGUUAUUAGGGAAGAACAUAUGUGUAAGUAACUGUGCACAUCUUGACGGUACCUAAUCAGAAAGCCACGGCUAACUACGUG